AAGUCGUAACAAGGUUUCCGUAGUGAACCUGCGGAAGGAUCAUUAUCGAAACCGGGAGGCGUGGAGGGGGAACUCGUUCCCUCGAAGCCCUCUUACCUCUUUCACACCCGUGUGCACCCCUUCGCGAGGUUUCUCCGGAGCCUCGCGCGUCUCUCUGACUCGCAUGUCUACGGAAUGUGUAUCGUCGGCAGASSAAUUCAAUACAACUUUCAGCGACGGAUCUCUUGGCUCUCGCAUCGAUGAAGAACGCAGCGAAUCGCGAUAAGUAAUGUGAAUUGCAGAUUUUCCGUGAAUCAUCGAAUCUUUGAACGCAUCUUGCGCUCCUCGGUAUUCCGAGGAGCAUGCCUGUUUGAGCGUCAUCGAAAUCUCAAGCCGAGGCCUCUUCUGAGGCUGGGGUCUUGGACCGUUGGGAGUCUGCGGGCGACCCUUGCGGGACGUCGGCUCUCCUGAAAUGCAUUAGCGGUGGGCGUGCAAGGUCUCCUUGCACGGUGCCAGCCUCUUCGACGUCAUAAUGAUCGUCGUGGGCUAGGGGCGUCUCCCCCAUGCUUCCCUAACUCUUGCGAGCUUCGUGCUCGACUCCGAACGCUUGACUUCAAUCAGGUAGGACUACCGCUGGACUUAAGCUAAUCCAUAAGCCGGAGA
rnacentral:rRNA from 1 species